AUUGAACCCUAUAAAUUUGAAUGAAAAAAGAAAAUAAAACAUUGUUAUUAUAAACAGAAAAACUUGUUUACGCAACCUUUUUUUUCCCUUUCAUUGUUUCCUGACAAUUUUGGUGGAAGUCUUUAGCUUUUGUACACGUCAGAAUUUUAAGAUUAAUCAAAUUCCAAAUUAGAUUUUCCUUUUUUACUUAACAAACUCAUUUAUCUAUGACGUGUUUACCAAAUGGAGUUGGAGGGGAAGAACGAAAUUGCACUCUUCCCAAAGCAUGUGCUUUCCAACGUUUACUAGCAUUUAGAGAAUCAGAAAACAGGUGGGGUCCACCCAAUAUCAAUAAUUGUCUAACUGAAAAAAAAAAUUGAAAUUCUACCAUAAAACCAAUAUAUUUAAGAUCUUGUAUAUCUAUAUAAUCAGUAAUUGUCUGACCGAAGCAACCUUAUGAAGGUCCUCGACAUUUUACGUUGUUCCAAAGUCAAUUUGAUUUUGCAUAUCAACUAACAAACAUAGAUUAUCCUAAUCUCUAAUAAUACAUAUUCCUUAUCAGCUAACAAACAUAGGUAAUCCUAAUCUCUAAUAAUCUCACGUGCAUAACAAAAGCCAACCAAGUGUAUAGCUCUCUGUAGAACUUACUUGCUGGCCUUGUAGAAUUGGACAAUACAACUCACGAGCCACGACUUAAACAUGGACAUGUGUCCUUUCAUGGGUUAGCUUUUAGUUUUAUCUAGAUGGAUUGGAAAAGACGUGCAAUUUGAAAAUUCCACCUUCAAUUCCUAGCUUGCGCUAUAUAAAUAGUAGUGACCUCUUAAUUUUCAUGCAUCGAUCUCAUCUGCAAUUAUCAUUGUUGUAUUAUUUUCUCCACCAUGGAGUCACCGAUAAUUACUAUCAAAGUUAUUUCAUUCUUUUGCUCGUACAUGCUUUUGUCGCACUUGCAUCUCACCACUUUGAACCCUACUGCCUUUGCUUUGGAGGACUGUCAGUUUCCAGCCGUCUUUAACUUUGGGGACUCUAAUUCAGAUACUGGCGGAUUGGCCUCAUCCCUUAUUGCACCAACCCCUCCUUAUGGUGAGACAUUUUUUGGUAUGCCGGCCGGAAGAUUCUCAGAUGGCCGUCUCACAAUCGAUUUCCUCGGUAUGUGUAUUUGUUCUUUAACUACCUUACUUAUUUCAUAGUUUUCUCUUGCUUCUACUUAUUUCUUAUGUGGAUGAAAUUACUUAUUGUUUCCAAACUGUUUCAUUGAUGAUCUUGAAACUUAAAACAGUUUAUCUUGAAACAUCACUAUAUACUUUGUUCUAAAUUAUUAAAUUAGUAUUUCUUUUCUCAUAGAAACGAAAGAUUAUAUACCUUUUUUUUAAUUAAUGUAGGGUUUUUGACUUGGAAUCUCUUAUACACUCUAAGAUUAAAGUUUGGAGAGGUAUUCAUCAAUUUACCUCCUGAACUUGUAAGGAUUGGCCAAUUUCCCCCUUUUACUCUCAUAAUUAGUCAAUUUGCACCCUACUGUUAAUUUUUUUAAUUUUUCAUCUAUUCUUCCGUUAAGUAGGUAUUUGCAUGACUGCCUUUAAAGGACAAAAAAGUCAUUUUCCCUACACCUAUCUUCUUCCUUUUCUUCGAACUUUCUCUUCUUCUUCCUUUUCUCUUUUUAAUUUUUCAUCUAUUCUUCCGUUAAUUAUGAGAGUCGAUGGAAGAAAUUGGCCAAAAUUAAAGUUGAGGGGGGAAAUUGGCCAAUGAUCACAAGUUCAAGGGGGUAAAUUGAUGACUACCUCAAGUUUGGAAGAAGAAAAUCGAACUUCAACCAUGCAUACAUGUAUAAAACGAAUCCAAAAGCAGAAUAUUAUUGUCUGAAACCGUGGAGCCGGUUGCCUUUCUGUUGAAUCCAAAAGCAUAGUUUUCUUGGUGUGGCCCAUGUUAAAAGGAAUCCAUUGAAGUUUUUAUACGCUUCUCAAUUGUUUGUCACUUGCCAUAACUUAACCUUGAUGGGAUGAAAUUUUUUUAGCAUGUAGGUCACAUUAGAACAUAAUAUUAUUAACUCACGUGUUAUAGGAUAAGUGUAUAACAUAAUUUAUAUGUUAUGAAUUUACGAAAUAAUAUUAAUUAAUAAAUGUAAUAAGAAAUAUAUAUCAAUAAUACAAUUUCUUGGUCAUCUUGUGUUCUUUACUUUCUUGCAAAUUCACGGUCAGAUUUAUGUUGUUUUAAGACCCUUCCGGUUUUGUGCAUCAACAUAUUUCAUCUUUCUCAAUGGAUGACCAUGUGAUGCACAAAGUAUACGACACAUCAUAUUCCUUCCUAGGUGUCCAAGACGGUGGUGCCAGAGUUAGAAAAUGCUCAAGUUAAUUUGCUUUAGCAAAAUGACUAGGUUUUCCUCGAUCUUUCAGAUAUUUGUCUUAUAGAGACUCGACGAGAAUGCUUUCAACUUCUCUAAGAUGUGAUUUCGGGUGUAUGAAGUGAAAGUGAUGCAAAGAUAUUCAACACCAUUUUUUUUAAGGUUUGUCAUGCCCUUCUAUCGGUGGUGUCAAGCCACUGAUUGUUGUCAUCGAGGAUUCAGUAGGCGCGAAGUUAAGGAAAUAAACGCAGUUACGUAAAAUAAUGUGUGUGGUAGCACUGUCCUCUAGACAACUGUCCUCUAGACAAUCAACUUCCUAUAACAUACCAAUGAAAAUUAAGUCAAGUCUUUCAAAAAGUUUUCAACUUUAUUAACGUAAAUUAUUCGAGAACAAAAAUUCCAAAAGAAUUAAAACAAUAACCAUGCGGGCUUAAGAAACCAUUAGGUUCCCAUAAUGGCCUAAUAAUCUAAAAAUAAAAGAAAAAUCAUCCAUAUAACAAACGGAAAAUUCCAAGUGGCGGCAUGCCAACAUCCAUUAGUAGUCAUCUAGCUCAAUGAAAUGAAACAAAUAAAGCCAUGUCAUUCGGGAUAGCUUAGGUUCCCAUGUUAUUAUGCUCGACGAGGUUGCUUUCUCUCUGAUGACAAUUGUGAUAACUAUCAACAACAUCAGAAGGUGCACGACAAGUUCAAAUCCAGUGAUUAGUUCCAUUAUAACAGAAGGAAAAUUAGGCUUAUUCUUUGGUUAAGGGCACUACUAAUCUUAUUGAUGUUGUUCCUAGACUUCUUGUGAAAUCUAACCACAAAACUUCAAAAUUGACAGGAUUCGACAGACUUUGGAGACAUACUCGUUGACAGUUUUAAAGUCAUGUGAUAGGAGCAUAUUUAUGCGACUUAGUUAGUUUGUUAUCUUGCAUUUUCAUAGUUUGUUUGUGUUUAUUAUUGUGUUUUAAGCUAUUUCGUGUGUUGUAGGUCAAAAUGACAAAGUUGGCAAGAAAGUGCAAUUUGGAGCAUUUUGAAGCAGUUUUGGGCAUCAAUUGGAUAGCUUAUGAGUGGAGCAAGAUGGAUGGACGAAUUUGAAGUUCAAGAGGCUAGGAAUGUGCUGAAAAGAUGAAGAAAAUAAAUCCAAGACAAAGAAGAUAAGGAAUCAGCUCAAAAGAAGGAACAUUAUCCAAAACCUUAUCCAACCUUAUCUUAUCUAAACUAACCUUAUCUUAUCUUAUCCUAUCCCAAUCUUAUCAUGCCUUAAAUCCAACUGCAAGGGGGACUCUUUAUCACAUUAGAAUGCCUAAUAUCUGAUUCUAGAAGCCCUGAAAUAAUGCAAAUAACCUGAUCCUUCUUCCCCCUAGAAAUCUGACGAAUUUCCUACUCCUUUUCAUCCUUGGAAUCUGAUGAGAAUUGUCCUUGUUCUUUGCUGAUUUGGAGUCCUAAUUCAACCCUUUUUGGCUGUGCCUUUUCUCCCUAUAAAUACAUAUUUUCUGCCACAAUUCAAACAACCACCCUCUACCAUCCAAUCACCACACCAUCCACCACAAUUUCGUGCACCACACAUACAAGAGCCAAAACAUCAGAAAAUACAUACUUGUGCGCAGAUUUGCAAGGAAGAAAGGAGAGGAGACAAUUAGAGUCGUGCCCUGCCAUUCAAGCUUGGAUUGCUAGACAUUCCUAGGUGUAUUUUAUCCUUAGUUUUAGUUCAAUGUUUGUUUUAAUUUGGUUUUAUGUUUUCAAAGACAUGAGGACCUAAUUUCUUUUUAGUUAGAGGUGAAUUCGAAGCCGUGAUUAUAUGCUUUAUAUGAAUUGAUUACAUCCAGUUAUUGUUUCUUGAGUCUUGAAUGUGAUUUGCUUAUCUAAGUUAUUAAAACUUGUUUAUGUAUGUUAAUUAAGGGUCGACACUUAAUUUGCAUGCAUGAAUUUGAUGCUAGAGUAUAAGGGAGUUUCACCUAAUCGUUAUGAACUUAUAUUCACAAGUAGUAGAGGUUGCUAGUCACAAUGGUGUUAAGUAAAUCCUUGGCAAGAGUAUCAUGCUUUUCAUAGUUACGAAUGCCUCGUCAAUGCUUAUGAUUUUCAAAGAACUUAAUGACCUUUGAUAUGUUUUCUAUCAUGCUUUUCAUAGUUAGGGGACUUGAGAAGGAUAAUUUGGUUGUGAUGCGUAUCCUGUCCAAUUCAAUGAAGUAAGGAAAAUUUGAUGGUUAAUUUGUGUUGUCACGGUUAACUUGGGGUGUUGUCAUUCAUGGUUUAAAGGAACAAUAUUGGAAAUUGGUUUAUGUUUGCAUAUGUCAUGUGUGGAGAAGGACCUUUUAACUAGCCUUUCACCCUUUUCAAUUCACCAAAUUCGUCCAGAGUAUUUAGAGUCUUUAAUUUUGUUUUGUUUUACUUUAAAUUCGUCAAAAACCCAAUCCCCUUUACUUUGUUGAGUCAAGUUAGUUAGAAUCUGUCCAAUUUGUGUUUUUAAGUGUUUUUAAGUAUUUUGAGUCAAGUUAAAAUCAAUUUUCGUCUAAUUCACCCUCUAGUGUCUAAUUUUAGUCUAUUUGAUUGUUUUGUGUUGUUUUGAGUCUUUUUAGUUUGUUUUGAGUUCUUUGAGUCUCGCUAAGUGUUUUUAAGUCUAGUUUUGUGUUUUUGAGUCAUAUUUGUGUAGAUUAGCAGCCCUAGUUAAUCCCCAGCCUAGAACGAUCCCUACUUUCAUAGACUACAACUAUCUUAAUAGGGUUUAAUUUGUGUGUUAGAAUAUUUCACAUCAUCAUGGAAGAAGAGAUUGUGCCAAUCGUUUCUUGCUUGAGGAAAGAAUAUUAACUUCUGAUGAUUAAAGCGGUCCACUUAGGCUUCCCAUAAGGACUUCAAGUCAUCCUUAGCCAGAAACCCGGUUUGUAGGGCUUCAGCCAUUCGCUUUCGAAUAAAAAUGAGGGUCUUAGCUUUUUGGGACUCAUUGGCAACAUCAUCUAGGAUUGCGUCUAGCAUCUUCCUUGCCUUGAGGUACAUCUUGACAUCUUGGGCCUACUUGAGGUAGUUAGUGCCAAAGAUAUCAAGUGAACUCUAACUUGUCCAAGUUUGACAUCUUUUAUGCUGGAAAAGAGGUGGAUUAAUACUUCAGAUUUAAUCAAAAUGGCUGUAAAAUCUUUAAAGAUUCGUUUUGCAAGAAAACUUUGAGGUUCUAUUUGGUGAAUAAGAGUUUAAGGGUGUGAGCUUGGACCAAAGAUGUCGACUCAUAGUGAGGCAUGUGUUAGUCGAUCUAAUUAAGCUCAUGUUUUGUUGCUUCUUGACUUAGAAAAUUUCAAAAGUCAAGUGAGCUUGAAACUCAAAAACAAAUUAAUUCAAUUAAUGCUUCUUGAAUGAAUUACUUGGGCUCUUAUUCGAAUAUUCUGCUUGAAUUUGGAAUUGGGCUUCGACUGGAAGUGAAUUGGGUUAUCCACUGGAAAGCAAAAAAUAGCGCAGUCGACUGGAAUGCAGGUUUGUAUCGAUUGGAAUACUAAAUUUGCAUUUGACUGAAUAUGAGUUGGGUUUUUGACUGAAAGACCAAUAUGGGCUUUCGCCUAGAAUGCAUGGGGACACACUUUUGGGAGUCGGGUUAGGUUUACUUCUAGAAGCCAACUAACAACAAAGUUAAUAGGAAUUUGUAGCAAUGGAGAUUGAGGCAUCAUAGGGCUUUGCAAAAUUACAAAAGUAAUAAGAAAAAUAUGAUAAUGGGGUUCAUGCUUCAUGAGAUGUGUAAACACAUAAUUAUGAGUUUGGCAUGAACUUGAAAUCAUGAAACAAAAUAUUUACUUCAACACAAAAAUGAUCCUACUUUAAAAAUUCAGAAAAAAACUGAAAGUUUGUUGCCAAAAGUGAGAAAAACCAAUCUGCAUGUUUUUGCCACGCAAAAUUGGUCGAGAAUAUCUUUAGUAGCGGCUGGACAAAAGUGCAAUAUCAAAGGGCUUUCGCGAUGGUAGGGAAAAGACUGGAGCAACAUGGAUUCUGAGGUGGUUGGAUUCUGCAAGGAAAGAGACUUUUCACCAUGAAUUCAUUUGCUGCAAUAGGAUCUUUGCGACAACCUUGAAGGUUUUCUGAAUUUUUUCUUUUUGCUACUAGUAUGGCUGCAAAAGAAUGUCUAGUGUUUUGGGAGCAUAUUUUCUAGUGGUUUUUUAUUCCGUCAAGUACAAAAGUUUUGAAACCUGUUUUAGUGGACUAACUAAGGGUGGUUUGGUAUGGGAUCCUAAACCUAAAAUAGAUCUCAAAU
rnacentral:lncRNA from 1 species